UACGUAGGGCGCAAGCGUUGUCCGGAAUUAUUGGGCGUAAAGAGCUCGUAGGCGGCCUGUUGCGUCCGCUGUGAAAACCCGAGGCUCAACCUCGGGCCUGCAGUGGGUACGGGCAGACUAGAGUGCGGUAGGGGAGAUUGGAAUUCCUGGUGUAGCGGUGGAAUGCGCAGAUAUCAGGAGGAACACCAAUGGCGAAGGCAGAUCUCUGGGCCGUAACUGACGCUGAGGAGCGAAAGCAUGGGGAGCGAACAGG
rnacentral:rRNA from 1 species